UGAACAACAACCACUGGAAGUUGCUGUACAUCAAUACAAAUGCCAGCACAGUAUUCCUAAUGGAUCCUGCACAACUGUCAUCAGAGCUCGAGGACUCCAAAAAUGCAGCUAAAAGAAUACAGGAAUACUUCAAGAUGAGAAGGACAUGCCAUGGGAAAACAGAUUGGGUUGGGAUCCGAUGGAAAG